GAUGAAGAACGUAGCGAAAUGCGAUACGUAAUGUGAAUUGCAGAAUUCAGUGAAUCAUCGAAUCUUUGAACGCAUAUUGCGCUCUCUGGUAUUCCGGAGAGCAUGCUUGUUUGAGUAUCAGUAAACACCUCAACUUCCAUAUCUUUUUUGAAAUGGGAGUUGGACUUGAGUGAUCCCAACGCUUUUCCUCACCGAAAAGUGGCGGGUUACUUGAAAUGCAGGUGCAGCUGGACUUUUCUCUGAGCUAUAAGCAUAUCUAUUUAGUCUGCCUAAAAAACAGAUUAUUACCUUUGCUGCAGCUAACAUAAAGGAGAUUAGUUCUUGUGCUGACUGANGCAGGAUUCACAAAGACGGCUUCGGCCGACUUUGUAAACUCGAUCUCAAAUCAAGUAAGACUACCCGCUGAACUUAAGCAUAUCAAUAAGCGGAGGA
rnacentral:misc_RNA from 1 species